rnacentral:rRNA from 1 species
UACGGAGGGAGCUAGCGUUGUUCGGAAUUACUGGGCGUAAAGCGCGCGUAGGCGGUCCAUCAAGUCAGAGGUGAAAGCCCGGGGCUCAACCCCGGAACUGCCUUUGAAACUAGCGGACUAGAAACUUGGAGAGGUCAGUGGAAUUCCGAGUGCAGAGGUGAAAUUCGUAGAUAUUCGGAGGAACACCAGAAGCGAAGGCGGCUCACUGGCCCGAAACUGACGCUGAGGCGCGAAAGCGUGGGGAGCAAACAGG